GUAAUCCUAAACGAACGAAGCGUUCAUCACAGCAUUGCGAGCCUUACACAGCGUAUAAAAAGAGCUGCAACAUUUGUUUUUGCAAUAUGAAUGGCACCAACGCUGUCUGUACGAAUCUUGCGUGUCACACUGGCGCACAGGGAGAUGACCCUGCUGCCAGCAGUCGCUGGGGUGGUGCAUUGAACACAACAGACGAUAUUCAUGAAGAACUGCGACGUGCGCGCCUGCAGCAAGGGGGAGACCGACGGAAUCUGCACGAACAAAAAGUGACCCGUUCCGAUUCUUUCAGCAUAAGUGCCGGUUAGCUUCGCAGCGUUACCACCACAGCAUGCAGUGAAUAUCGUCUACACCUAUGGUAACGGCGAUAUGUCUCAUGUCAAUUAACAACGACUUUAACCUAUUCAAUAAUUAAAACU